GGCAAAAGGCAAAUUGCGGUGGGUCCAGGUUAUUGUUGAAACAGAAGUUAAUUCUAGCCAUUACCAACCUCUCAAGGCAGUUCAUCACCAUAGAUGUAGCCACAAAACAAAAAACCUGAAAGCACCCAAUUAAAGUUCAUCAUAUUAACGAGCACAGAGUACAGCAUCUGGGGCAGUCUUCUCAGCCUCGGAUCAAUGGAAAGAGGAGUGACCAUCACGGACAGCGAUCAAAAUUGGCUCUCGCCUCGGAUCCCGACCUCCCUGUCCUUUCAGUCUAUCCACGCUUCCUUAAUAUUUCAGCUAAAUCAAAAAAAGCACACAACCAGCAUCUGGAUGACCUCUCUGACCUUUCAAAUGUGCUUUAUUGGACGUGGGAUUUAAGAUCACAUUGCAGAAGUGUAAAGAUAACCAUGACUGAAAAUUGUACUGAAGAUGUCGCAAGCGAGGCACACUACUGCAGAGCUAAGCUUGUAUCUUAUAUUCAAAAUUUGUCAUGCAUAAAUUGCCAGAGCCAUCCAGUCUUCUAUCCCAACAAUAUUUUAAUUCCUACACUGUGAGCUUUUAUCUUCUGCAAUAAUCUUCAUUGAAAAGGGAGGUCAAGCUUCGUUAAAAGAUGAAUUAAGUGUCCAAGCACGGGACCUCCUCAGAGCCAUCUGCUGGCUAUCUGGAGAAGAAGAAUGUCAGAGUUGUAUACAGCAUACAUACUUUGAUAAUAAAUGAACCUUU